GCAAAUCUGAAAAGAUCGCGGACAUGCUAUAAGCACCUGCCGUCGAUGGGUGAUACAAGGAACAUUAUAAACACGCAGGGCACAGUACUAGUUGGCCACGACCCUGCCUGACUGCUGUGUCUGUGUAUAGGAGAGUGGCAGAUCCUGCUACAAUAAAUAACCACGCUGUUGCUGUUUCAAGCUGAAUAAAGCUGGUGGUGCAAGACGGGGACUCGCACGUCACAGCACACACACACACGCGCGCACACACACAGUCACAAUGCUGUAGUAAACAGUAUACGCUCGUACGGAUGUUGACUAUAUGAGUGAAGCACGCCGACUCAGACGGAGAAUAGGAGACGAUUGCCCACAAU